GACAGAGGAUGCAAGCGUUAUCCGGAAUGAUUGGGCGUAAAGCGUCUGUAGGUGGCUUUUUAAGUCCGCCGUCAAAUCCCAGGGCUCAACCCUGGACAGGCGGUGGAAACUACCAAGCUGGAGUACGGUAGGGGCAGAGGGAAUUUCCGGUGGAGCGGUGAAAUGCGCAGAUAUCAGGAAGAACACCAAUGGCGAAAGCAGCUUUCUGGGACGGUACUGACGCUGAGACGCGAAAGCGUGGGGAGCGAACAGG
rnacentral:rRNA from 1 species